rnacentral:lncRNA from 1 species
UAGAUUGGAUGUGUUCGUUGUGAGAAAAUUCGUCGAAAGGCCGCUACGUGGAAAGUGCAUUCCGACACCGAAAAGCACAUGUUUCGCAUCGUUUUUCGUGUUGUAGUGAAAUGAUCCAAAACACUCCCAAACAUGUUCUAUUAUCUAAUGAGGUAGAUUGGAUGUGCUCAUUGCGAAAAUAUCCGUGUGAAGUUCGCUACCUUAAAACACUGCAUUCGAGUGACGAAAUGCACCCGUUCUGCAUCAUUUUUCGUGCAGUAGAGAAAUGCUCAAAAACACUCCCAAAUAUGUUCUAAGAUUUAUGGGGUUAGACUGGAUGCGUUCAUUGCAAUAAAAAUCCAUCUGAAGUUCGCUACCCUAAAACAGUUCAUUCGGGUUCCGAAACGCACCCGUUUC